rnacentral:rRNA from 1 species
GGCGGCAGGCCUAACACAUGCAAGUCGAGCGGUAGAGAGAAGCUUGCUUCUCUUGAGAGCGGCGGACGGGUGAGUAAUGCCUAGGAAUCUGCCUGGUAGUGGGGGAUAACGUUCGGAAACGGACGCUAAUACCGCAUACGUCCUACGGGAGAAAGCAGGGGACCUUCGGGCCUUGCGCUAUCAGAUGAGCCUAGGUCGGAUUAGCUAGUUGGUGAGGUAAUGGCUCACCAAGGCGACGAUCCGUAACUGGUCUGAGAGGAUGAUCAGUCACACUAGAACUGAGACACGGUCCAGACUCCUACGGGAGGCAGCAGUGGGGAAUAUUGGACAAUGGGCGAAAGCCUGAUCCAGCCAUGCCGCGUGUGUGAAGAAGGUCUUCGGAUUGUAAAGCACUUUAAGUUGGGAGGAAGGGUUGUAGAUUAAUACUCUGCAAUUUUGACGUUACCGACAGAAUAAGCACCGGCUAACUCUGUGCCAGCAGCCGCGGUAAUACAGAGGGUGCAAGCGUUAAUCGGAAUUACUGGGCGUAAAGCGCGCGUAGGUGGUUUGUUAAGUUGGAUGUGAAAUCCCCGGGCUCAACCUGGGAACUGCAUUCAAAACUGACUGACUAGAGUAUGGUAGAGGGUGGUGGAAUUUCCUGUGUAGCGGUGAAAUGCGUAGAUAUAGGAAGGAACACCAGUGGCGAAGGCGACCACCUGGACUAAUACUGACACUGAGGUGCGAAAGCGUGGGGAGCAAACAGGAUUAGAUACCCUGGUAGUCC